rnacentral:rRNA from 1 species
GAUGAACGCUGGCGGCGUGCCUAAUACAUGCAAGUCGAGCGAACAGACGAGGAGCUUGCUCCUCUGACGUUAGCGGCGGACGGGUGGGUAACACGUGGAUAACCUACCUAUAAGACUGGGAUAACUUCGGGAAACCGGAGCUACUACCGGAUAAUAUAUUGAACCGCAUGGUUCAAUAGUGAAAGACGGUUUUGCUGUCACUUAUAGAUGGAUCCGCGCCGCAUUAGCUAGUUGGUAAGGUAACGGCUUACCAAGGCAACGAUGCGUAGCCGACCUGAGAGGGUGAUCGGCCACACUGGAACUGAGACACGGUCCAGACUCCUACGGGAGGCAGCAGUAGGGAAUCUUCCGCAAUGGGCGAAAGCCUGACGGAGCAACGCCGCGUGAGUGAUGAAGGUCUUCGGAUCGUAAAACUCUGUUAUUAGGGAAGAACAAAUGUGUAAGUAACUAUGCACGUCUUGACGGUACCUAAUCAGAAAGCCACGGCUAACUACGUG